rnacentral:lncRNA from 11 species
GCGCGAAUAGUGGUGAGGGCUAUAGUCGUGCGCUAACUAGCGAAAUACGGGAAGAAUAUUUCCAAAGAAAGGGAAAAACGUUUAUUAUUUGUUGGAACGAUUCAACGAGGAUAUUGCAUAUAACUAAUUCAACGAUACGAUUUGCUCAACUGCUUGCUUGUUUACUGUUUGCAUUUGUUCACGAGUCUUCCAACGUGCUUAAUCUUAUUUGCGCUGGUCUUCACGUUUCUUGAGAUUUUCCUUCGCUUUGCCAUUGAUAUUUGGGGCAACAUGCGAUGGUCUGUCCCACUGAGUGUAUUACACCGCAUCUGCUAUGUAUUGGCAGAUCUUCUUCUUUCAAUAAUUUCUUGAAGACAACGACUUAACACGAUAAACGUUAUCGAUGAAAUCAGCUGAAACAUAUCUGAAUUAAGAGGAUUAUACAGUAAUCGAUAUCCUUCUGAAAGUUAUCGCUGCUACUCGCCAAAUAACAACUGGUAAUUCACGAUACACGAUGUAACAUGUAUUCAUUGCAGUUAACGAUACUACAAGUACUAACUUCACAUUUAGUUCUCUUGCUUAUGAUUUACGUAAAUUAAAAUCUAAUUUCAACUGUGACGAAAUAAAUUUCUUUGCAAGUAACCAAAAACGUUCCAUUAUUAUUAUCAUAGUGAUUAAUAAAAUUUCAUUAAUAGUAUUAGUGUGGUUAAUAUCUAUUGUAUGGAAAGGGGGUCUGAAAUUAAAUAGCAAGUAUUUUGCCAUCGUUUAAGAGAAAUACAACGGAACCAAUGUUUAUCAAGGAAACUAAAUUAUUAAUAC